GUGCUUCUUGAAGUCGUUUUAGGCUUUGGAGAAAGUAAAAACUACUUCCUGUCAGUGAGUUUGUGAUGCGAGUGCUACAUUUAGCUUUUUUAACCGCUCCUGUGUGCGUCCCUCUCUGCACAUAAAUCAUUCAUAAGUAUGCCGAAUGGGAGCGGUGAAUACGGAGCAGCAGGUCCAAGCAACCUCGGUCUGACUCAUCACGUCAUUUUUCAGCACUUUGCACGCCGGUGGCCGCCGAGGUCGUCUAUUAAUGACCCACCUGAGCGGGUGAUCUCGUAGAAGCCAUUUGGUUGAAGAGAUGUCAAGCUGGAUUUAAGUCGGCUGACGCCACAACCUUGUGAGAGGAGCCGAGAAUAAACUGUAGUUUGAGUGAUAGGAGGCAAAGUUAUUUAAGAUUUAUUCAAAUGUGGCUAGUUGGUUAGCUAGCCUAACAACAUGGCCGCCGAGUGACAAGGCAUCACCAUGCUAACGUGCUGUUUGGAGGGCCAUCUUAUUUUAAAGCUCCUUGAGGAAUGUUGCUCAUUCCGAAAAGAACGCUUGACGAUCCCUGGUACUAAAUAAAGUCGAGGGUAGUGGCACAAAAUAGACAAGAAAGCGAUGUCGUCUUCCAUAAAAUCACGAAGUACAGGAGCAGAUGAUGCGGACAGAAGAUGCUGCUGGAAGAGGAAUCAUUGCUGGUGCUGAUGCAGAUACUUGAGAGGCUCAUUCAAGAUUUACAGCAAGAUGUAGGAGUGGAUGUGGCCAGCUAGCAUACUUUGCAACAACCAUUUGACGCUGACAGGUGUUCCAUGAAAGCAGUGAGAGUUUCUUUAUGUCUUGUCUUUAAAGUCGUCUGUGAUCGUCCAUCAUGACAUCACCGUGAAGAACAGACAUCAACGUUGGAUUGACGCUUGACAACCCCGAACCCCCCACGUACGCUUCAGCCAAUCACCCUU